rnacentral:lncRNA from 1 species
ACAGAUAAAUUACUCUAACAAAUAAUGAAAUAAAUCAUACAGAAUUAAGAAUCAAUUCAAAUACAUGAGAGUUUACAAGGUUACAUCAUUCCCCAACAACAAAUAGAGUUUAGUUCCCCAUAAACAUGGUGGAACCCUAUGAACUAUGGAAGAAAGAAAGAAUGAAAAGACUAAGAAUUUGGCUAAGAGUGUAUUGUUAUGCUUGCUUCUGCCAGGGAUGCAAAACCUAAAGCCCCAGGGUCCUUUAAAUAGUGCCAAAAGUGUUCCAAACUGCGGCCUAGUCCAAAAGAAUCAAAUCAGAGCAGAUACAGGGCCCGAUCCGCGUCAAAUCACGCUCAAGCGUCGCAGGGAGCUCGCCCGGGCGUGAAUCAAUGCUUUUGUAAGGCUUGGGCACCAGUUUUCGGCGCCUGGACUACGAACGUCUAUCGCCUAGGCGUCGAGUCCGUCGUCCGAGUGACCAGUGGUAAUUUCCAGAUCGUUGUUUCGCGUUUCUAUCGCCUGGUCCUCGCUUGGGCUCCGGGUUUUCUCCCUUCUUGAUGCCUUUUUGACCCCUUUUGAGCUCCAUCUUCAUGGCUUUUCACUUCUUCUUCCAUUAUUGCUUCAGUCUCUGUCAAAACAAAGGGAAUUUGUUAGAAAAUAGUUAAAAUCAACCUCAACUCUCUUAUUCACACAAUUUACUGAAAACACAUGAGUUCAAGCAAGUUUCUAAGUCAAAAAGGGUGCUCUUAGUAUCAAAACCAUAUAUCAAAUAACGGUAUUUUAAUCCGUUAUCAAAAAGCAGAUGAAAUUAAGAAUUAAUUUAAAUACAUGAGAGUUUACAAGGUUACAUCAAUCCUCAACAACAAAUAGAAAUUAGUUCCCCAUAGACAUUGGGGAACUCUAUGAACAAUGGAAGAAAAGAAGAGAAUGAAAGACUAAGAAUUGGCUAAGAGUGUAUUGUUAUGCUCUUCUCUUCCAGGGAUGCAAAACCUAGAGCCCCAGGAUCCUUUAAAUAGUGUCAGACGCGUUCCAAAGUGUGGCCCGGUCCAAAAGAAUCAAAACAUAGCAGAAACAAGGCCCAAUCCAGGUGAUGUAUCACCCAAGCGUCGCAGGGAGCUCGCCUGGGCGAGAUUUGAGGUGUAUGUUGGGCUUGGGCAUCAGAUUUGGACGCCCGGGCGACCAACGGUGAUUCUUCUCGCGUAGUUUUCUAGUUCCUGUCGCUCGGGCUUCGCGUUUUCCCUCUUCUUGGUGCCUUUUUGACCCCUUUUUAGCUCCUUCUUCUUGGCUUUUCACUUAUUCUUCCAGUAUUGCUUCAAUCUCUGUCAAAACAAGGGGAAUUUGUUAAAAAGCUUUUGAAAUCAACCUCAACUCUCUUAUUCACACAAUUUAUUGAAAACACAUGAGUCCAAGAGAGUUUCUAAGUGAAAAAGGGUGUUUUUAGUAUCAAAAUCACAUAGCAAAUAACGGUGUUUCGAACCGUCAUCAAAGAUCCUUUACGGUUUCAGAAAAGAUGUGCAGAAAUCUUGGGAAAAGAAGGAAGGAUUUCUUUCCAUCAAGAGAUCCCUCAGCCUUAGAUCCCUUGUUUUAUGAUUUCUAAUUACAACUAUGAAUAAGAAUUUCCCUUUCUAGAAAGAACAGUAGAUCCUACCACCAGGAUCAGCACCAAGCCAAAUAUCUCCCCCUCAGAAUUUGGUCCUAAUGAGAGAUCUAAGCCUUUAACCCAAGCUAAAGAAGUGCUUAAUUGGCAGACAGAAAAUGCUAAAGUUCAAAAAUUUAUGCUCAAAAGAAUUUAUCAAAAGAUAGAUGGACUUUCAUCAGAAAUGAAGAAUAUGGAUGCCCGAUUAGAGCAUCUUUUUGAAAUAAUUAAAGACCACUAUGUCUAUCUUACAGCUAAAAUUUCUCGUAGAAGAAGAAUGGAAAAGGACCACUUUUAGUGAAACCUCUCAGGCCAGAGAAAGAGAAAGCAAGAAGCUGAAAGCACAACUCCAAGAUUUGGACCAUUACAUAGAAUAAAAAAUGAAAGAGAAACAAUUAUCUUUCUCUAAUCCUUUCAGCCCUCCUCCUUUCACCCCAUUUUGGGAUUUUUUUUCCAAUCUUCCUCCUCUAUGAUUCAUAAGUCCAAACAAACCUAUUCAUUACUAAUCGUUACAGCCUUAAGAACCAGACAAAAACUCAGAACCUCAGCACCCUCAACACAAGAACAUAGAAAAACUCCUAACCACACUCAAUAAGAGUCCCCUAGAAAUCUAUCUGUAAAGGAAGACUAUUUCCAAUGUUUUUGGGGAUCUGAACUAUUGAUGGGUUUUCUUCAUGGGGUUAGACAUAACAAAUAGAGUGCCUUCAUUACUUGAGGGUAAGGAUAGGUUAACUGCAUGAUUCUGUAACCAAUAGAUAAUAUGAUGAUGUAUGUAGUGUUUCACAAAGGGCUUCAGCUACUUGCCUAGCUCCCGUGAUCUGAACUUGGACUUUGAGUCUUUGAGGCAAGGUUGAAUCUCUUAGGCUAACAUUGUAGUUGGGAAACAUAGUGAGAACUACACUUCCUGCAUGUAAGGUAGUCAAAAUUGACCUAUGACAGCAUUUUCAUAGUGGAGAAAACUGGAAUCUAAGAGAGAGUAUGGCAGAGACAGAAAGACCUCUUCUUCCAUGAAGGGAAAGAAUAAGUCUAAUGGCUCCAUAAUGAAGGUGAGUGUAACCUUCCUAUUACCAAUGCUUGAUUAAUUCUUUAGGUAUCUCUAUUAUAACAUAUUGUUCUUCAGGUGUAGCUAUAAGAGAACAUUAUUCCAUCCUAAAGGAUUGAACAUACUCUUUUUCAGGAGGUCUUUUGGAGGUUAUGAGUCUGGCUAUAGAUCUAAUGGAAGAUCUUCGUCUUUUGAAAAUAUUGUACGUACUAAGCAGAGGGGUUAAGGACUCAUAAAUCUACGCAUCUUCAGGGACAUAUGAAUAUUCUAUGAGGUUUUCGAUUUUUGAAGAGAGCGUUUGGAGAUAUUGUCUGGUAGAGAUAAGGGGGAGUUUAGGAGAACAGGUUGUAAAUCGAUAGUUGUUUCCAUGGAUUAGAUAUGAGUUUAGAGAAGUCAAGGAAGUAAGUUAGUUAUACUUUAGGCUCUGAUUUGAUUGGAUUUCUUUUUUAAAUAAAUUCCAAUUUUCAAAUUUGGCCUCAUUAAACCAACCUUAUCUAAAUGUCUUUAGAUUUCAGUUUGAACAUUUAAAUCAAAACUACAUUAUACACUUAUCGAUAUAUUUAAUUCUUGUAUUUCAUUUUUUUUUGUCAACAUUUUAGGCUUCUCAUAUCUAUAUUCUUGUCACACUUAGGUUUUCUUAAAAGCUAAAUUUCUCCUACGUAUUGAGAUUUGAAAAGUUAAACUGCGUAUAUAAUUAAUGCACAUCUAUUGGCUUUUCCUCUUAAUGUAUAAAAUUUUAGGGGAUAUUCUAUCGGUAAAUGUAAAUUAUUCAUAUUCGAAAUAUUCAUUCGUAUAGUUAGCACCCCAAUGGAAGAAGGAACAAUGUAAAACGUAACAAUGAAAGAAAGAAAGAAAUAAAACACUAUAGAAGAAGUAGUGCAGUUACUCUUAUUAUUUAUAUAAAGAAAAAUAUUUUUUAAUAAUAUUUUUUAAUAUUUUUUACAUUAAUAAACUAGACGAUUUACUUUUUGAGGAUAAUUUAGUUACUAAAAAAGUAAAUUUUUAUCCUUGUAGAAAAGUAUUGAAAGAUAAAAUAAUAAAUAUAAAAUGUAUAUAAAAGUUUAUUAAGUGUCAAAAUAGUAUGGGGUUAAGUAUGUUUUUAGUCUUUAUACUUUGGGGCGAUUUUGGUUUUAGUCCCUCUUUCAAACUAUGGUACAAUUUAGUCCUUCAACUUUAAAAAACUCUGGUUUUAGUAAUUUUUACCAAAUUUUUUUAACUUUAUUUGCUGUUUCAAACGCGUUUCUCAGUUAACAUUGAAGCAAAAAUGUGUCAAACAGUGUAAACAAUCCAAAUUCUAUAAUGAAACGUGCUUGAAACAACAAAUAAAGUUAAAAAAAAUUUGUGAAAAGGACUAAAACCAGAGUUUUCUAAAGUUGAAAGACUAAAUUAUACCUUAGUUUGAAAGAAGAACUAAAAUCAAAAUUGUUCCAAAAUAUAGAGACUAAAAACAUAUUUAUAGUAUUAUCUUUAAAAGAUAUAGUGACUCACAAAUUUAGGCUUCAAAUACCACCCUUUAAUUAAUUACUCAUGAAGGAUGGAAUGAAAAAAUGAAGUUUAAUUGUCCUUUUAAAUGUAAUCAAAGUUAAAAAGAAAAUUGCUAACAAAAAAUAUGAAUUAGUUGAAUAAGAGAACUGUUCAUUCUGACACAAAAAAACCCAAUGUCUUAUUUCGAAUUUGGAUUUUCCUUUAGACUUUAAAUAUUAUUUUUUAUUACAUCUUCAAAAUAUAUUUAUGUACACUUAUUUUAAUAUUUUAAAAAUAUUAAAAAAUGAAUAUAUAUAUAUAUAUAUAUAUAUAUAUAUAUAUAUAUAUAUAUAUAUAUAUAUAUAUUUGGAAAUUUAACAGAAAAACAAUGAAAAAAAAAUCAAUAAAAAUGGUUCCGAAUGGAUGACCAAAAGAUCAAUAAAAAUAUGGUAAGUUUAUCUCUUUUCCUUUUACACAAAAAUACAUGUACGUAGCAGUAGGUCAUAGGGAUAACAAAAGAUCAGAGUUCAUUUUAUACAGUCACUACUUUUGUCUGACAUCAUAAUCUUCUUCAAUAUCCUGUCUGCUGAAUGUGUCUAAAUCUCCACAUAUCUCUCGAAAUUAAUAUUAUACUUCACUCGGUCCCACUCUUAAGAAACUGAAUAGAAAAAGAAAGAAAAAUAUUUUUUUAAGAAUUAUUUUUUACAAAUCUUUUAAUCACACUUAUGUAGUGGGCUGUAAUUAGGUUAAUAAAUUUAAACGAAUUAAUAAAAUACUAACACAUAAUUUAUUCUCAUAAAAAAUUGCUAUGAAAAAUUGUUAACAUAUUAGAAAAAAUUCGAAAUCAAUCCAAAACAAUAUUCAUCAUCCAUCUCUAGUGCUUUUAAAUUAUUAGGAAAGGAAAAAAAACUUAAGUAUUCAUAGAUAUUGAUACCUUCAAGGAGGCAAAGUUUCGAACGAAUAAAACAUGUGAACUGUUGGACCCUUCAUCACCUAAACUUUGCUUUUUCAGCCACCAAGAAAAGAAUUGAAGGAAAGCAAGGGAAAUGAGAGAGAAGCUGAGCUUGUAAUGUUGAAGAACUGGAAAGGAAAGUAGCAUGUACAGUGGUGAUUCUCUUCCUGAAAAAUAUGUCAUGUAAAAGUAAUCACACACAAAGUUAUAUAUAUAUAUAUAUAUAUAUAUAUAUAUAUAUAUAUAUAUAUAUAUAUAUAUAUAUAUAUAUGAGGGAAAUCGUCACAUUUGAAGUUGAAUUCCACACAUUACAUACCAUGUAAUGUGAUGUGGAUGAGGAGCUGUGAAAGUGGUUAUAUAAGAUGAUUUUGCUGGGAAGUGAAAAAGUACUACUAGGUGGGGCAUCCAGCUAUAAAACUCAUAUGCCACUGUUGCAGAUGUUGGCUGAAUCUUGGGCAGCCUAGUGAGGAAGAGUUAAUACUUACAAAGACCUAGAAGACGAUAUGUUACAUCAGCUACAGUUGUGGCUGCAACUUUUUGUGCCACUGGAUGAAUACUAAGAAAUUGGUCUUGUUGGAGACAGAUAUAUUAUAAUGUUAUAUGUAUUAAUAUCAAUGAUGGAGACAACAGAAAGAAGGAGCUCCCCUUCAGUCCAAGCACAGAGUAAGAGGGAUGCAAAAUAUCUCCUGCUUCAUUCACACAAUUACAGUAGAAAAUGGCUUUAUAUAAACCCCUACUGUGUGUGUAUGAAUGAGUCAGCAGAUACUUGAGAUCCCCUUUAGUCCCUCAUACCCAUACGUGGGCUGAAGGAAGCUCCUUCACUCUCUUUCUCUCCCGCUACUGUACUCUCAUUCACAUCUACAUCAAUGCAUACACGUUUUAUUUCCUUCCCAGGCUUUCAAGGAACAUCUACACUUCACCUUCCUCAUAUUCUUGCUGCCCCACAGAUAAUUCACAAACCAAUAAAACAAUCUAUAGCUACUCAAAAACCAGGCUAAUCAAUUGCCUCUUGUAUCACAAAAACACAUUGUCACACUAUAUACUAUGUGCUUUCCUAUCAGGAAAUUAACAAACCUAUAUGUGUAUGUAUAUAUAUAUAUAUAUAGUGAGGUUAUAAAGGGUUUAGAUGAAUGAUAAAAUGGGCAAUUGUAUAAACAGAUCACUUUAAAGCAUACAUGUUCAGAUUCUCUCACAUGAAUCAAUGAAUAAUAGAUCAGAUGACAAAAUAUACAGUUUGCUCAAGUGGAAACCCUUUGUGCUGAUCUGAACCCAAAUUGACCUAAUGUAAUUGCAAUUAUGUUAGUGAUUAACUGCUUAUUAAUUCACACAAAACUAACAGAAGAAGUAACUGGAAAAGGCAUUUCAGUAGGCCCAAAACAAGGCCAGUUUGAAAUAAAAGAAAACUUAGGAAAAGGAAAAGGUAAAAAGCUGAACUGGCAACAAGGAGUACAAAAUAUGUAUAUAUAUGUAAUCCAUGCAAGUAUAAAAAAUUUGUGAAUUAUGUUGGUUUUAAAAAAUUUGACGAAAGUUUGUAGCAACAUAUAUAAAAGGGUACAUGUAUAUACCAUAUUGAAUCGAAGAGCUAAGAAAAGAGGUGGUAGGCAUAGAGCAGCAAUCAAGUGCAGGUAACCCUAAUCAUGAGAAGUGCAAGAGCAGUGAGAAUCGAAGAGAAUAUAGAAUUGGAAGUGAUCUAGAAAAUUUAGAAGUAGUAGUGUUGAAGUGUGUGUGUGUUAAUUGAAAGGGUUUGGAUGAGAAAUGAGAAGAGAAAGAUGGAAAAAAAACAGAAAGAGGAAUUGAAGGUGAGGAGGUGAAGAGGAAGGUAGAUGAUGGCAGAAACCCUAAAUGAGGUAUGUUUUUUUAUGGAUAUCUGCGCUCAAGUGAGGAAAGAAAAGGAGUGUUAUAAAGAAAUGAAAAGAGUAAAGCGUUUAAAGGAGUUGGUGCAGGCU